AGAGUUUGAUCAUGGCUCAGAACGAACGUUGGCGGCGUGGAUUAGGCAUGCAAGUCGAACGAAUCCCUGAGGGCUUGCUUUCAGGGGAAAGUGGCGAAAGGGGCAGUAAGGCGUGGGUAACCUACCCUGGGGACUGGGAUAGCCCUCCUAACGGAGGGGUAAUACCGGGCGAUGUCGUCGGGGCGCAUGUUCUGGCGAUGAGAUGAAUUUCGCCUCGGGAGGGGCUCACGUAGUAUUAGCUAGUUGGUAGGGUAACGGCCUACCAAGGCAAAGAUGCUUAGCGGGUGUGAGAGCACGACCCGCGCCACUGGCACUGAGACACUGGCCAGACUCCUACGGGAGGCUGCAGUCGAGGAUCUUCGGCAAUGGGCGCAAGCCUGACCGAGCGACGCCGCGUGAGCGAUGAAGGCCUUCGGGUUGUAAAGCUCUUUAGCAGGGGAGGAAGCCGAAAGGUUGACCUAUCCUGAAAAUAAGCACGGGCUAAGUUCGUGCCAGCAGCCGCGGUAAGACGAACCGUGCGAACGUUGUUCGGAAUCACUGGGCUUAAAGGGCGCGUAGGCGGGCUGUCAAGUCCGGGGUGAAAUCUUUCGGCUUAACCGGAAAAGUGCCUCGGAUACUGGCAGUCUUGAGGGAGGUAGGGGUAUGUGGAACUUCCGGUGGAGCGGUGAAAUGCGUUGAUAUCGGAAGGAACGCCGGUGGCGAAAGCGACGUACUGGACCUCUUCUGACGCUGAGGCGCGAAAGCUAGGGGAGCGAACGGGAUUAGAUACCCCCGUAGUCC
rnacentral:rRNA from 1 species